AUUCCAGCUCCAAUAGCGUAUAUUAAAGUUGUUGCAGUUAAAAAGCUCGUAGUCUGAGUCUUGGUCUGGUGAAUGAGCGUCCACGGUGUAUUUGGAUUUGUUUUCAUUGCAUUGUGCGCAUGCGAAUCACUGGCCGAUUUUGUACUUCGGAGGAACUUUUCAUGCUUUUCAUUAAGUGUGGAUUGGGAUUCCGAUAGCAUGGGAUAAUGGAAUAGGACAUUGGUUCUAUUUUGUUGGUUUACGGACCGAUGUAAUGAUUAAUAGGAACAGUUGGGGACAUUUAUAUUCCAUGGCUAGAGGUGAAAUUCUUGGAUUCAUGGAAGAUAAACUAUUGCGAAAGCAUUUGUCAAAGAUGUUUUCAUUG
rnacentral:rRNA from 1 species